rnacentral:rRNA from 1 species
AUUGAACGCUGGCGGAAUGCUUUACACAUGCAAGUCGAACGGCAGCACGGACUUCGGUCUGGUGGCGAGUGGCGAACGGGUGAGUAAUGUAUCGGAACGUGCCCAGUCGUGGGGGAUAACGUAGUGAAAAUUACGCUAAUACCGCAUACGACCUAUGGAUGAAAGCGGGGGAUCGCAAGACCUCGCGCGAUUGGAGCGGCCGAUAUCAGAUUAGGUAGUUGGUGGGGUAAAGGCCCACCAAGCCAACGAUCUGUAGCUGGUCUGAGAGGACGACCAGCCACACUGGAACUGAGACACGGUCCAGACUCCUACGGGAGGCAGCAGUGGGGAAUUUUGGACAAUGGGCGCAAGCCUGAUCCAGCCAUUCCGCGUGCAGGAUGAAGGCCCUCGGGUUGUAAACUGCUUUUGUACAGAAGGAAAAGGUUUCUACUAAUACUAGGAGCUCAUGACGGUACUGUAAGAAUAAGCACCGGCUAACUACGUGCCAGCCGCCGCCGUAA